AUGAACGCUGGCGGCGUGCCUAAUACCUGCAAGUCGAGCGAACGGACGAGAAGCUUGCUUUUCUGAUGUUAGCGGCGGACGGGUGAGUAACACGUGGAUAACCUACCUAUAAGACUGGGAUAACUUCGGGAAACCGGAGCUAAUACCGGAUAAUAUUUUGAACCGCAUGGUUCAAAAGUGAAAGACGGUCUUGCCGUCACUUAUAGAUGGAUCCGCGCUGCAUUAGCUAGUUGGUAAGGUAACGGCUUACCAAGGCAACGAUGCAUAGCCGACCUGAGAGGGUGAUCGGCCACACUGGAACUGAGACACGGUCCAGACUCCUACGGGAGGCAGCAGUAGGGAAUCUUCCGCAAUGGGCGAAAGCCUGACGGAGCAACGCCGCGUGAGUGAUGAAGGUCUUCGGAUCGUAAAACUCUGUUAUUAGGGAAGAACAUAUGUGUAAGUAACUGUGCACAUCUUGACGGUACCUAAUCAGAAAGCCACGGCUAACUACGUG
rnacentral:rRNA from 1 species